rnacentral:rRNA from 1 species
CCUACGGGAGGCAGCAGUAGGGAAUCUUCCGCAAUGGACGAAAGUCUGACGGAGCAACGCCGCGUGAGCGAAGAAGGCCUUCGGGUCGUAAAGCUCUGUCCUAAGGGAAGAAUACUGACGGUACCUUAGGAGGAAGCCCCGGCUAACUACGUGCCAGCAGCCGCGGUAAUACGUAGGGGGCUAGCGUUAUCCGGAAUUACUGGGCGUAAAGGGUGCGUAGGCGGCCCUUCACGUCAGAGGUGAAAGGCUACGGCUCAACCGAAGUCAGCCUUUGAAACUGUAGGUCUUGAGUGCAGGAGCGGAGAGUGGAAUUUCCAGUGUAGCGGUGAAAUGCGUAGCUAUUGGGAGGAACACCAGUUGCGAAGGCGGCUCUCUGGACUGUAACUGACUCUGUGGCACGAAAGCGUGGGGAGCGAACAGGAUUAGGUACACGAGUAGUC